rnacentral:rRNA from 1 species
AGCCCCUCGGGGCGGAUUAGUGGCGAACGGGUGAGUAACACGUGGGCAAUCUGCCCUGCACUUCGGGACAAGCCCUGGAAACGGGGUCUAAUACCGGAUACCCGUCUCCGCAGGCAUCUGCGGAAACGGAAAGCUCCGGCGGUGCAGGAUGAGCCCGCGGCCUAUCAGCUGGUUGGUGAGGUAACGGCUCACCAAGGCGACGACGGGUAGCCGGCCUGAGAGGGCGACCGGCCACACUGGGACUGAGACACGGCCCAGACUCCUACGGGAGGCAGCAGUGGGGAAUAUUGCACAAUGGGCGCAAGCCUGAUGCAGCGACGCCGCGUGAGGGACGACGGCCUUCGGGUUGUAAACCUCUUUCAGCAGGGAAGAAGCGCAAGUGACGGUACCUGCAGAAGAAGCGCCGGCUAACUACGUGCCAGCAGCCGCGGUAAUACGUAGGGCGCGAGCGUUGUCCGGAAUUAUUGGGCGUAAAGAGCUCGUAGGCGGCCUGUCGCGUCAAUUGUGAAAGCCCGGGGCUCAACCCCGGGUCUGCAGUCGAUACGGGCAGGCUAGAGUUCGGUAGGGGAGAUCGGAAUUCCUGGUGUAGCGGUGAAAUGCGCAGAUAUCAGGAGGAACACCGGUGGCGAAGGCGGAUCUCUGGGCCGACACUGACGCUGAGGAGCGAAAGC